rnacentral:tRNA from 1 species
AGUCUUGUGGCUCAGUGGUAGAGCACUUGCCUAGCAUGUGUGAGGCCCUGGGUUCAAUCCUCAGCACCACAU